ACACGUAGGGGCCUGACGUUGUUCGGAAUCAUUGGGCGUAAAGGGCGCGCAGGCGGCCGUCCAAGUCCGGUGUUAAAUGGUCGGGCUCAACCCGAUCAUGCGCUGGAAACUGGGCGGCUUGAGUCCCGUAGGGGAUGCCGGAAUUCCAGGUGUAGGGGUGAAAUCUGUAGAUAUCUGGAAGAACACCGAUGGCGAAGGCAGGCAUCUGGCCGGAGACUGACGCUGAGGCGCGAAGGCGCGGGGAGCGAACAGGUUUAGAUACCCUGGUAGUCCGCGCAGUAAACGAUGCGCACCAGGUGUCGGGCGGCAGCGCCCGGUACCGGAGCU
rnacentral:rRNA from 1 species